rnacentral:rRNA from 1 species
AGAGUUUGAUCCUGGCUCAGGACGAACGCUGGCGGCGUGCCUAAUACAUGCAAGUCGAGCGCAGGAAGCUCACGGAACUCUUCGGAGGGAAGUGAGGGGAAUGAGCGGCGGACGGGUGAGUAACACGUAAGGDACCUGCCCCAAGGAUUGGGAUAACUCCGAGAAAUCGGAGCUAAUACCGAAUAGUUCUUCAGACCGCAUGGUCUGAUGAUGAAAGGCGCUCCGGCGUCACCUUGGGAUGGCCUUGCGGUGCAUUAGCUAGUUGGUGGGGUAAUGGCCCACCAAGGCGACGAUGCAUAGCCGACCUGAGAGGGUGAUUGGCCACACUGGGACUGAGACACGGCCCAGACUCCUACGGGAGGCAGCAGUAGGGAAUCUUCCACAAUGGACGAAAGUCUGAUGGAGCAACGCCGCGUGAGUGAUGAAGGUUUUCGGAUCGUAAAACUCUGUUGUAAGGGAAGAACAGGUGUGAGAGGUAAUGCUCAUGCUAUGACGGUACCUUACGAGAAAGCCACGGCUAACUACGUGCCAGCAGCGCGGUAAUACGUAGGUGGCAAGCGUUGUUCGGAAUUAUUGGGCGUA